AAAUGGAGAAAUUGCAAAGGUCAUCACAAAGUCAGGCUUGCUGCAGAAGAUAGCACUGUGGGUGAACAGGAGAUACCCAAAGCUCCAGCUUCUGGACUGACUUACUCCAUUUGCUACCUUCUGCUUUAAGCCUAGAUGACCAGAUGGAGAAUGGCUGCCCAGGCCGCUAGGGAAAAUCAGGACAUGUCUCCAGGGGCAAAUGCCUAGGCUCCAAAGCUCUUGCUACCAUCUAGAGGGAUGAAGCAGGUAAGAAGACUGAGGCUCAGAGAAGCAAAGCAGCCCAUCCAAGUUUCCCCAAUGAGCUUGCUAAACAGGACCCAUGGGGGAGAGAUUUGAAGAAGCCAUCAGGGUUUUGACUAGAAGGCAGGGGUCCUCAAAGCUGUGAAAGUCUGAUCUAUCAGAGGUGGCUGCCAAGCUGUGCUUUCUUCUGCAGAUGGCAAAAGAAAAAGAUGUGAAACAAGGCAUGUUUAAAUGGAAGAGAGAGGAAUGAGAGAGGAAGGCAAGAAUACAAAUAUUUAAGAAAGCUUUAUUUUCCUGAAGCAAAGAAUGACACUUGAAACCGAGGGAAUCUCAAUGUCCACCUUGCAUUUCCAUGACCAGCAAGAGAGGGGAACCCCUACAGGUAAUUAAUGUUCAUCCUCUGCCUCUGACCUGGGAAGUCUCAGUCAUCCCCGAGGACCAAUUCCAAAUGUCAAUUCAUUCACCACCAUUGCCCUUGUCAUUGCAUCCACUCCUCCUCUCUCUCUGACUUGUGUUAAUGGUAGGUAACUGUGUAUGAAUCUAGGCUGGGGGUUUGUCUUUGAGGUCAAGGACUAUUUCUGAUUCACUGUGUGUCUCCCUAAAUCCUUCUUCCACCCAGCAAAGAUGCUCAAAAUAUAUAUACAAAUGAUAG
rnacentral:lncRNA from 10 species